UUCAAUGUCUUCAAAAUUCACCAUCAAAAAAUUCAAUGUUCAAAAUUCGCCAUCAAAAAAUUCAAUGUUCAAAAUUCACUGUCAAAAAAUUCGCUGUUCACAUCCGGGGGACUCAGGCGUAAACAAUCGAUCCUGGCCAAAAUCGAACCAACGCCCAGCCAAUCACGUGGCGCUCCUCCGGUCAUGUGACGCAGACGGUUCACCUCACGAGACCGGGGUCAACCACGGCUACCAGCAUGAACGACGGCGCUUCAGACCUUUGUAGCGAGGACCCGAUGCCAGGUCCAGUGGACAGACUUCAGACGUCUCUGUGUGUCCGGUCCUGUCCGGUCCUGUCUCUGGUUGCCUGGUUACAGACGCUGCUGCACCCGCACGUUUAAAAAUGUCUACACCUGAAACUCCACCACGUCUAAAGAAGCAAAAACGUUUGCAAAUGUACAGACUGGAGUGGGAAGAGUGGAACCCCUGGCAAUGGGUACAAGGCAAACUGUGUUUUCUGUUGCUCAUGGACUGGCUGAAGUAAGGCAGCAUCAGGAGACAAACAUGGAGGAAAUAUGAGAACAGAGAGAACCCAACCAGCAGGUCACAGUUUAUCAUCAUCUAAUCAUCUCCUGAAGUCGAUAUGGUCCCUCUCUAUCUCCCCACACAUCCACCAACCACUGGAACACAUCUCCAAAGUUCUGCUGGGCCAGCUCAGCUUCCUCUCAGAAGAAGUGCUGCCACCUGACAGAUGAAGGAGCCUUUUGAGAGGCAGCUGGCAUCGUGAUUGGACUGUACUUUGGUCUGUUCCAAUCCAGCUUCAGCUCCAGAGACGGCAGGCGGGACGAGUCAACGGAGGCCGGGUGGACGAAGGCUGCAGCUGAGUACAAUCUAGAAAACAACAGAGGAGGAGUGCAGCGGCCCAGAGCCAGAACAGAGUAGCAUCGUAUGUCUCUUAGAAGACAUCAUAGUAUAGCCUUUGGUAUGAAAAAACGCCAUCAUAUACAUCGUAUAUUGUACAAAUAACAAGUCAAAGGAAAGAGAAAUACAUUGUAGAAUUGUAGUAAUUGUGGGCUG